AGAGUUUGAUCCUGGCUCAGAUUGAACGCUGGCGGCAUGCCUAACACAUGCAAGUCGAACGGAAACGAUGGGAGCUUGCUCCCAGGCGUCGAGUGGCGGACGGGUGAGUAAUACUUAGGAAUCUGCCCAUUAGCGGGGGACAACUCGGGGAAACUCGAGCUAAUACCGCAUACGCCCUACGGGGGAAAGCGGAGGACUCUUCGGAGCUUCGCACUAAUGGAUGAGCCUAAGCCGGAUUAGCUAGUUGGUAGGGUAAAAGCCUACCAAGGCGACGAUCCGUAGCUGGUCUGAGAGGACGAUCAGCCACACUGGGACUGAGACACGGCCCAGACUCCUACGGGAGGCAGCAGUGGGGAAUAUUGCACAAUGGGCGCAAGCCUGAUGCAGCAAUGCCGCGUGUGUGAAGAAGGCCUGCGGGUUGUAAAGCACUUUCAGUAGAGAAGAAAAGCCUAGGGUUAAUACCCCUGAGUCUUGACGUUACCUACAGAAGAAGCUCCGGCUAACUCCGUGCCAGCAGCCGCGGUAAUACGGAGGGAGCGAGCGUUAAUCGGAAUUACUGGGCGUAAAGCGCGCGUAGGCGGCUUUGUAAGUCGGAUGUGAAAGCCCCGGGCUCAACCUGGGAAUUGCAUUCGAUACUGCAGAGCUAGAGUAUGGUAGAGGGAAGUGGAAUUUCCGGUGUAGCGGUGAAAUGCGUAGAUA
rnacentral:rRNA from 1 species